GGGCGUAUGGUCAAGUGGUUAUGACGUCUUAUUUGUAAUGUGAAGGUCCCAGGUUCGAACCCCGGUGCAUCCG